rnacentral:rRNA from 1 species
GGUUAAGCGACUAAGCGUACACGGUGGAUGCCCUGGCAGUCAGAGGCGAUGAAGGACGUGCUAAUCUGCGAUAAGCGUCGGUAAGGUGAUAUGAACCGUUAUAACCGGCGAUUUCCGAAUGGGGAAACCCAGUGUGUUUCGACACACUAUCAUUACGUGAAUACAUAGCGUAAUGAAGCGAACCGGGGGAACUGAAACAUCUAAGUACCCCGAGGAAAAGAAAUCAACCGAGAUUCCCCCAGUAGCGGCGAGCGAACGGGGAGCAGCCCAGAGUCUGAAUCAGCUUGUGUGUUAGUGGAACGGUCUGGAAAGUCCGACGGUACAGGGUGAUAGUCCCGUACACCAAAAUGCACAGGUUGUGAACUCGAAGAGUAGGGCGGGACACGUGGUAUCCUGUCUGAAUAUGGGGGGACCAUCCUCCAAGGCUAAAUACUCCUGACUGACCGAUAGUGAACCAGUACCGUGAGGGAAAGGCGAAAAGAACCCCGGCGAGGGGAGUGAAAAAGAACCUGAAACCGUGUACGUACAAGCAGUGGGAGCCUCUUUAUGGGGUGACUGCGUACCUUUUGUAUAAUGGGUCAGCGACUUAUAUUCUGUAGCAAGGUUAACCGUAUAGGGGAGCCGAAGGGAAACCGAGUCUUAACUGGGCGUUAAGUUGCAGGGUAUAGACCCGAAACCCGGUGAUCUAGCCAUGGGCAGGUUGAAGGUUGGGUAACACUAACUGGAGGACCGAACCGACUAAUGUUGAAAAAUUAGCGGAUGACUUGUGGCUGGGGGUGAAAGGCCAAUCAAACCGGGAGAUAGCUGGUUCUCCCCGAAAGCUAUUUAGGUAGCGCCUCGUGAAUUCAUCUUCGGGGGUAGAGCACUGUUUCGGCUAGGGGGUCAUCCCGACUUACCAACCCGAUGCAAACUGCGAAUACCGAAGAAUGUUAUCACGGGAGACACACGGCGGGUGCUAACGUCCGUCGUGAAGAGGGAAACAACCCAGACCGCCAGCUAAGGUCCCAAAGUCAUGGUUAAGUGGGAAACGAUGUGGGAAGGCACAGACAGCCAGGAUGUUGGCUUAGAAGCAGCCAUCAUUUAAAGAAAGCGUAAUAGCUCACUGGUCGAGUCGGCCUGCGCGGAAGAUGUAACGGGGCUAAACCAUGCACCGAAGCUGCGGCAGCGACACUAUGUGUUGUUGGGUAGGGGAGCGUUCUGUAAGCCGUUGAAGGUGUACUGUGAGGUAUGCUGGAGGUAUCAGAAGUGCGAAUGCUGACAUAAGUAACGAUAAUGCGGGUGAAAAACCCGCACGCCGGAAGACCAAGGGUUCCUGUCCAACGUUAAUCGGGGCAGGGUGAGUCGACCCCUAAGGCGAGGCCGAAAGGCGUAGUCGAUGGGAAACAGGUUAAUAUUCCUGUACUUGGUGUUACUGCGAAGGGGGGACGGAGAAGGCUAUGUUAAGGCUAUGUUAGCCGGGCGACGGUUGUCCCGGUUUAAGCAUGUAGGCGGAGGUUCCAGGUAAAUCCGGUACCUUUUUAACGCUGAGGUGUGAUGACGAGGCACUACGGUGCUGAAGUAACAAAUGCCCUGCUUCCAGGAAAAGCCUCUAAGCAUCAGGUAACACGAAAUCGUACCCCAAACCGACACAGGUGGUCAGGUAGAGAAUACCAAGGCGCUUGAGAGAACUCGGGUGAAGGAACUAGGCAAAAUGGUGCCGUAACUUCUUCGGGAGAAGGCACGCUGAUAUGUAGGUGAAGUGAUUUACUCAUGGAGCUGAAAUCAGUCGAAGAUACCAGCUGGCUGCAACUGUUUAUUAAAAACACAGCACUGUGCAAACACGAAAGUGGACGUAUACGGUGUGACGCCUGCCCGGUGCCGGAAGGUUAAUUGAUGGGGUUAUCCGUAAGGAGAAGCUCUUGAUCGAAGCCCCGGUAAACGGCGGCCGUAACUAUAACGGUCCUAAGGUAGCGAAAUUCCUUGUCGGGUAAGUUCCGACCUGCACGAAUGGCGUAAUGAUGGCCAGGCUGUCUCCACCCGAGACUCAGUGAAAUUGAACUCGCUGUGAAGAUGCAGUGUACCCGCGGCAAGACGGAAAGACCCCGUGAACCUUUACUAUAGCUUGACACUGAACACUGGUCCUUGAUGUGUAGGAUAGGUGGGAGGCUUUGAAGUGUGGACGCCAGUCUGCAUGGAGCCAUCCUUGAAAUACCACCCUUUAAUGGCUGGUGUUCUAACGUGGACCCGUAAUCCGGGUUGCGGACAGUGUCUGGUGGGUAGUUUGACUGGGGCGGUCUCCUCCUAAAGAGUAACGGAGGAGCACGAAGGUUAGCUAAUCCUGGUCGGACAUCAGGAGGUUAGUGCAAAGGCAUAAGCUAGCUUGACUGCGAGAGUGACGGCUCGAGCAGGUGCGAAAGCAGGUCUUAGUGAUCCGGUGGUUCUGAAUGGAAGGGCCAUCGCUCAACGGAUAAAAGGUACUCCGGGGAUAACAGGCUGAUACCGCCCAAGAGUUCAUAUCGACGGCGGUGUUUGGCACCUCGAUGUCGGCUCAUCACAUCCUGGGGCUGAAGUAGGUCCCAAGGGUAUGGCUGUUCGCCAUUUAAAGUGGUACGCGAGCUGGGUUUAGAACGUCGUGAGACAGUUCGGUCCCUAUCUGCCGUGGGCGCUGGAGAAUUGAGGGGGGCUGCUCCUAGUACGAGAGGACCGGAGUGGACGCAUCACUGGUGUUCGGGUUGUCAUGCCAAUGGCAUUGCCCGGUAGCUAAAUGCGGAAGAGAUAAGUGCUGAAAGCAUCUAAGCACGAAACUUGCCCCGAGAUGAGUUCUCCCUGAGACUGCCCCGAGAUGAGUUCUCCCUGAGACUUUAAGUCUCCUGAAGGAACGUUGAAGACGACGACGUUGAUAGGCCGGGUGUGUAAGCGCAGCGAUGCGUUGAGCUAACCGGUACUAAUGAACCGUGAGGCUUAACCUU